rnacentral:rRNA from 2 species
GACCUCGGAUCAGGUAGGGAUACCCGCUGAACUUAAGCAUAUCAAUAAGCGGA